GGCGGAGUUUAACUGGUAGAUGACCUUGCACGGACAUUUGACUGGUACGGGAAGAACGCUUCAAAUGAGCAUACAUACAGCUCCGGUAAACACACUGCACGUGUGGCACCUCCAAGAGCGGGCAGGCAACUGCACAGGCAGACAGCCCACCCCAAGGGCAGAAUCAGGGAAGAAGAGACGCAGGACCCCGGAAGCAUGCCAACGUCACACCGCGCACUUCAUCCCUCAAGUCACCCGCGUGGCCCUCUUGCGAGGUCUCACUCUGUCGCCAGCUAGAAUGCAGUGGCACAAUCCCAGCUCAGUGCAGCCUCAACC
rnacentral:lncRNA from 1 species